rnacentral:rRNA from 1 species
UGGGGAAUUUUGGACAAUGGGCGCAAGCCUGAUCCAGCAAUGCCGCGUGCAGGAUGAGGGCCUUCGGGUUGUAAACUGCUUUUGUACGGAGCGAAAAGGUCUGCCCUAAUACGGUGGGCUCAUGACGGUACCGUAUGAAUAAGCACCGGCUAACUACGUGCCAGCAGCCGCGGUAAUACGUAGGGUGCAAGCGUUAAUCGGAAUUACUGGGCGUAAAGCGUGCGCAGGCGGUUUUGUAAGUCUGAUGCGAAAUCCCCGGGCUCAACCUGGGAAUUGCAUUGGAGACUGCAAGGCUAGAAUCUGGCAGAGGGGGGUAGAAUUCCACGUGUAGCAGUGAAAUGCGUAGAUAUCAAGAGGAACACCAGUGGCGAAGGCGGUUACCUGGAAAAUUCCUGACUCUGAAGCACGAAAGCGAGGGGAGCAAACG